GACGAACGCUGGCGGCGUGCUUAACACAUGCAAGUCGAACGAUGAAGCCGGAGCUUGCUCUGGUGAAUUAGUGGCGAACGGGUGAGUAACACGUGAGUAACCUGCCCUUGACUCUGGGAUAACUGCGGGAAACGGUAGCUAAUACUGGAUACGACCUACGAAGGCAUCUUCUGUAGGUGGAAAGAAUUUCGGUUCGGGAUGGACUCGCGGCCUAUCAGCUUGUUGGUGAGGUAAUGGCUCACCAAGGCGACGACGGGUAGCCGGCCUGAGAGGGUGACCGGCCACACGGGGACGGAGACACGGCCCAGACUCAUACGGGAGGCAGCAGUGGGGAAUAGUGCACAAUGGGCGCAAGCCUGAUGCAGCAACGCCGCGUGAGGGAUGACGGCCUUCGGGUUGUAAACCUCUUUUAGUAGGGAAGAAGCGAAAGUGACGGUACCUGCAGAAAAAGCACCGGCUAACUACGUGCCAGCCGCCGCGGUAA
rnacentral:rRNA from 1 species